UAAAAAUAUGGAUCCAAUAGAGUAUAAUAAAUAAGUGUGGGACUGAAUGAUUGAAUAUCCAAGUCAAGCACUGUGCUGCCAUGCCUAUAUAUUGGGGGAUUAAACACGUAGUGGGGUGUCCCAUUGAUGUGGGAUGGUUUCUGGUGGGUUAUCAUUGAUAACAGAUUUGUUUCUCCUGGCUUUUAGUAUCUCUGUACUUUCAGCGUGCCUUAUCUCUUGGGUGUUGUCUGUGGAUCUUGGCAGAACUGUAUCAUUCCAAAGUGUACUUGAAUUACAUUCAUACGCUUUUCUCGCUAAAGCUGUAGUGAGUUUGCCUUUACUAAUAUCUUCUUUACGUUCAUUUAUCCUACAUUUCAAGGAUCGAACCGUACUUCC
rnacentral:lncRNA from 1 species